CAAACUUAACCACUACACCACCAGGUUGGCCCCCAGAAAUAGAAUGACCAUGAGAGGAAAAUAAAGAUACGAAGAGACUGUUGGGAGCAUAUCAUGACCAAAUAGCGCAGAAGAACAAACAUUGGCGAGGUACAGUGAAGGUAGCAUCGGAAUGGCAACCAUCUCCCAGAAAGCUGCCCCACGAAUUGCAAGAAAUAAUAAUGGAGCUGGAAAAAAUCCAGGAAAAUUUGAAACUUGCAUAUGGCCAUUCAAAUGUAACAGUGCCCCCAGAGAAGAUAAUACACUGGAGAUCUGAAUGUAGAAGCAGAACAAGAGAGUAUAAACAAGCUUGGAAAAUGUCAUCCUUUCUCAUGGCUUUAGGAUAAUUAAAAUAAUUUUUCUUUUAUUUUGCAGGGAAAGAUUCACCCUGAGCUAACAUCUGUUGCCGAUCUUCUUUUUUUUUCCUCCUCAAAGCCCCAGUACACAGUACAUAUCCUUACAACGUAUCCUACUUGUAAGUUGUUCUAGUUCUUCUAUGUGACCCACUGCCACAACAUGGCAACUGGCAGA